rnacentral:rRNA from 1 species
CUAGCGACUUCAGAGUUUGAUCCUGGCUCAGGAUGAACGCUGGCGGCGUGCUUAACACAUGCAAGUCGAACGAAGCAUUUUACUACGAUUCCUUCGGGAUGACGGUGAUUUGACUGAGUGGCGGACGGGUGAGUAACGCGUGGGUAACCUGCCUUAUACAGGGGGAUAACAGUUGGAAACGACUGCUAAUACCGCAUAAGCGCACGGUAUCGCAUGAUACAGUGUGAAAAACUCCGGUGGUAUAAGAUGGACCCGCGUCUGAUUAGCUAGUUGGUGGGGUAACGGCCCACCAAGGCGACGAUCAGUAGCCGACCUGAGAGGGUGACCGGCCACAUUGGGACUGAGACACGGCCCAA